rnacentral:tRNA from 1 species
GUUAGGGUGGCAGAGCCCGGCUAAUGCAAGAGACCUAAACUCUCUCCACAGAGGUUCAAGUCCUCUCCCCAACU